rnacentral:rRNA from 1 species
GACGAACGCUGGCGGCGUGCCUAAUACAUGCAAGUCGAGCGCAGGAAAUCGACGGAACCCUUCGGGGGGAAGUCGACGGAAUGAGCGGCGGACGGGUGAGUAACACGUAAAGAACCUGCCCUCAGGUCUGGGAUAACCACGAGAAAUCGGGGCUAAUACCGGAUGGGUCAUCGGACCGCAUGGUCCGAGGAUGAAAGGCGCUUCGGCGUCGCCUGGGGAUGGCUUUGCGGUGCAUUAGCUAGUUGGUGGGGUAGUGGCCCACCAAGGCGACGAUGCAUAGCAGACCUGAGAGGGUGAUGGGCCACACUGGGACUGAGACACGGCCCAGACUCCUACGGGAGGCAGCAGUAGGGAAUCUUCCACAAUGGACGAAAGUCUGAUGGAGCAACGCCGCGUGAACGAUGAAGGCCUUCGGGUCGUAAAGUUCUGUUGUAAGGGAAGAACAAGUGCCGCAGGCAAUGGCGGCACCUUGACGGUACCUUGCGAGAAAGCCACGGCUAACUACGUGCCAGCCGCCGCGGUAA